rnacentral:rRNA from 1 species
CCAAUAGCGUAUAUUAAAGUUGUUGCAGUUAAAAAGCUCGUAGUUGAAUUUCGGGAUUGGCACAUCGGUCGUGCCUUAAGGGGCAUGAACUGGUGCAGCCAAUUUCUCACCUUCUGGAGAACCGCGAUGUCCUUAAUUGGGUGCCGCGAGGAACCAGGACCUUUACUUUGAAAAAAUUAGAGUGUUUAAAGCAGGCAUUUUGCUUGAAUACAUUAGCAUGGAAUAAUAAAAUAGGACGGAUGAUUCUAUUUUGUUGGUUUCUAGGACCACCGUAAUGAUUAAUAGGGAUAGUUGGGGGCAUUAGUAUUCAAUUGUCAGAGGUGAAAUUCUUGGAUUUAUUGAAGACUAACUACUGCGAAAGCAUUUGCCAAGGAUGUUUUCAUUAAUCAAGAACGAAAGUUAGGGGAUCGAAGACGAUCAGAUACCGUCGUAGUCUUAACCAUAAACUAUGCCGACUAGGAAUCAGACGAUGUUAAUUUUUUAAUGACUCGUUUGGCACCUUACG